UUACAGCAAACUAUUUAAAUUUUAAUUCCGAAUUAAAGAAUAAUUUGUUUUCGUUUUCAAUUCAAUUCGAUGCGCGAAUCCGUGUAUUUUUAAAUUUAAACAAAUUCAAAUGAAACCGAACUUUAAUUUUGAAACGAGACAAAUUAACCUUGAACUUGAAUGCGCUUUUACGACCGGUUUAAUUUAUUUAUUAAAUUUUAAUUUGAAUUUAAAUCAAAUUUAUUCAAGUACUUGAAAUAAUUUAAUUGCAAUCAGGGGCCGGUUUAUAGCAAGCGCCGGUUAAUUUGUUUUCGUUUUCAAUUCAAUUCGAGGCGCGAAUCCGUGUAUUUUUAAAUUUAAACAAAUUCAAAUGAAAACGAACUUUAAUUUUGAAACGAGACAAAUUAACCUUGAACUUGAAUGCGCUUUUACGACCGGUUUAAUUUAUUUAUUAAAUUUUAAUUUGAAUUUAAAUCAAAUUUAUUCAAGUACUUGAAAUAAUUUGAUUGUAAUUACGACCGGUUUACAGCAAGCGAUUUAAAUUUAAUUCAGAAUUAUUUUAAUUCGUUUCGUUUCACGUUUUACGAUUCAGUUGACUGCGUAAUUAAAGGCCGGCUUACAGCAAACGAUUUAAAUUUUAAUUCCGAAUUAAAGAAUAAUUUGUUUUCGUUUUCAAUUCAAUUCGGGACGCGAAUCCGUGUAUUUUUAAAUUUAAACAAAUUCAAAUGAAAACAAUCUUUAAUUUUGAAACGAGACAAAUUAACCUUGAACUUGAAUGCGCUUUCACGGCCGGUUUAAUUUAUUUAUUAAAUUUUAAUUUGAAUUUAAAUCAAAUUUAUUCAAGUAUUCGAAAUAAUUUACUUGCAAUCCGGGGCCGGUUUACAGCAAGCGGUUUAAAUUUUAAUUCCGAAUUAAAGAAUAAUUUGUUUUCGUUUUCAAUUCAAUUCGAGGCGCGAAUCCGUGUAUUUUUAAAUUUAAACAAAUUCAAAUGAAACCGAACUUUAAUUUUGAAACGAGACAAAUUAACCUCGAACUUGAAUGCGCUUUCACGGCCGGUUUAAUUUAUUUAUUAAAUUUUAAUUUGAAUUUAAAUCAAAUUUAUUCAAGUACUUGAAAUAAUUUGAUUGUAAUUACGACCGGUUUACAGCAAGCGAUUUAAAUUUAAUUCAGAAUUAUUUUAAUUCGUUUCGUUUCACGUUUUACGAUUCAGUUGACUGCGUAAUUAAAGGCCGGCUUACAGCAAACGAUUUAAAUUUUAAUUCCGAAUUAAAGAAUAAUUUGUUUUCGUUUUCAAUUCAAUUCGGGACGCGAAUCCGUGUAUUUUUAAAUUUAAACAAAUUCAAAUGAAAACAAUCUUUAAUUUUGAAACGAGACAAAUUAACCUUGAACUUGAAUGCGCUUUCACGGCCGGUUUAAUUUAUUUAUUAAAUUUUAAUUUGAAUUUAAAUCAAAUUUAUUCAAGUAUUCGAAAUAAUUUACUUGCAAUCCGGGGCCGGUUUACAGCAAGCGGUUUAAAUUUUAAUUCCGAAUUAAAGAAUAAUUUGUUUUCGUUUUCAAUUCAAUUCGAGGCGCGAAUCCGUGUAUUUUUAAAUUUAAACAAAUUCAAAUGAAACCGAACUUUAAUUUUGAAACGAGACAAAUUAACCUCGAACUUGAAUGCGCUUUCACGGCCGGUUUAAUUUAUUUAUUAAAUUUAAUUUUGAAUUUAAAUCAAAUUUAUUCAAAUACUCGAAAUAAUUUAAUUGCAAUCCGGGGCCGGUUUACAGCAAGCGGUUUAAAGUUUAAUUCCGAAUUAAAGAAUAAUUUGUUUUCGUUUUCAAUUCAAUUCGAGGCGCGAAUCCGUGUAUUUUUAAAUUAAAACAAAUUCAAAUGAAAAUUAACCUUGAACUUGAAUGCACUUUCACGGCCGGUUUAAUUUAUUUGUUAAAUUUAAUUUUGAAUUUAAAUCAAAUUUAUUCAAGUACUUGAAAUAAUUUGAUUGUAAUUACGGACCGGUUUACAGCAAGCGAUUUAAAUUUAAUUCAGAAUUAUUUUAUUUCGUUUCGUUUCACGUUUUACGGUUCAAUUAACUGCGUAAUUAAAGGCCGGCUUACAGCAAACGAUUUAAAUUUUAAUUCCGAAUUAAAGAAUAAUUUGUUUUCGUUUUCAAUUCAAUUCGGGACGCGAAUCCGUGUAUUUUUAAAUUUAAACAAAUUCAAAUGAAAACAAUCUUUAAUUUUGAAACAAGACAAAUUAACCUUGAACUUGAAUGCACUUUCACGGCCGGUUUAAUUUAUUUAUUAAAUUUUAACUUUGAAUUUAAACCAAAUUUAUUCAAGUACUCGAAAUAAUUUAAUUGCAAUCAGGGGCCGGUUAAUUUAUUUUCGUUUUCAAUUCAGUUCGAAGCGCGAAUCCGUUUAAGUUUAAAUUUAAACAAAUUCAAAUGAAAAUUAACCUUGAACUUGAAUACACUGCUGGUUUAAUUUAUUUAUUAAAUUUUAAUUUUGAAUUUAAAUCAAAUUUAUUCAAGUACUUGAAAUAAUUUAAUUGCAAUCCGGGGCCGGUUUACAGCAAGCGAAUUAAAUUUAAUUCCGAAUUAAAGAGUAAUUUAUUGUCAUUUUCAAUUUAAUUCGAAGCGCGAAUCCGUGUAUUUUUAAAUUUAAACAAAUUCAAAUGAAAACGAACUUUAAUUUUGAAACGAGACAAAUUAACCUUGAACUUGAAUGCACUUUCACGGCCGGUUUAAUUUAUUUAUUAAAUUUAAUUUUGAAUUUAAAUCAAAUUUAUUCAAGUAUCCGAAAUAAUUUAAUUGCAAUCCGGGGCCGGUUUACAGCAAGCGAUUUAAAGUUUAAUUCCGAAUUAAAGAAUAAUUUGUUUUCGUUUUCAUUUCAAUUCAAAGUGCGAAUCAGUUUAAGUGUAAAUUUAAACAAACUCAAAUGAAAACGAAUUAUUUUACUUUAGAAUUAGAAUUUGUUCUUUCGGUCCACUUUCGUAAAAAAACAUUACGAUGUAAAUGACUAAUCUGUUAGCAUGACAACUUGUAUAAUACAUAAAAGCUAAUGUCAAGAGUACGCUUUUUGCACCUCAAUAUUUUUUAUGAAAGUGAACCGAAAGUAAUUAAUUCGUUUUAAUCUUUUUGGCUUGGCUGCUGCUGUUGUUUCUAUAGCAUCAUUGGCUUGACACUAAUUUAAUAAAUUUUCACCCUCAUUUUGAGACGUUCUGUAGCAAUAAAUUAUUUUAAAAAGACUCUGAUGCUAUUUAAACAUCAGUAUCAUCUUAAUAGAGGUGUGCUUAACGAUUAAAAUUUAUUUACUGCAAUUAUUUCGUCUUUUAUUUUUAAAUUUAACAUUCAUAUCGUCCUACAAUUUGGUACAAAUACGUAUUGAUAAGCACAUCUCUAAUAAAAAAGGGAAGUAUGUACGUAAUUCGGAAAUAGGUUUCAAGUUUACGUGUUCUGAUGUAACUUUUUUUCACCACUACCGAAAGUAGCCAACAAAAUUCAUAAUUUUUGCGCGUCUUUUCUUUUUCUUCUUCGUAAUAUUAUUGCUUCAAAUGGGAAUAGAUGUAACCGCUGAUGCUGACUGACUGCAGUCAAUUCAUUGAAGAAAAAGCUAUGAAUGCAAUUUUACUUGUGAGAUAUUUUCCUCACUCCAAGUAGUUUUUUGCUUGCGUCACCAUCGCCUACUGGGCCAACCGGGGAUUUUGAAUUAAUUCACAUUGUCGCAUCGAAAACAAAUGGUCUCGUAGCGUGGUGCUGAACCAUUGGGAAAAGGAAACUAUCUGAUGAUUAUAAUAAAAGACGUAAGUGAACGUCGCUCCAACUCAUGGCAUGUUGGGGGAAAAGUGGAGGAAAUAAUAAAAAAAAUUUGGAUUCGAUGGAAUUGACUGAUCUAAUUAUGAUUUCUUAAAAGUGGGUUAGUAUGAUUCUCUUGAAUAAGUGGGCACUGAUUAUUUUCCUAUGACUAAAUUUUAUCAAAAUUGAUCAAAAAAAAAAAAAAUUGCAAACCUCUAGAUUUGUUAAUGUAUCACUGGUGUACUAAGCUCGUAGUAAAAUCGAAUAAAGACUCGAUCUCAUUAAUUUGAGUGUGUUAGUCGUGCUGAUGCUCCUCGAUAGACACAUACCUAUAAACGGUAUUAGUUGUCGUGCAAAUACAUAUCUUAGAUAUGUAGAGGAGAUGCUGCGAGCAUAAAAUAGUACACUAAAUACAGGCAUUUUCUAGGAUGGCUUUGCAUUCAUUAAAAAAAUCACAAAUAUACACAAACUAUAAAAAAAAUAAAAAAAAAUAAAAAAUAAACAAAAUAAAAAAUAAAAAAAAUAAAAAAUAAAAAAAAAUAAAAAAUAAAAAAAAAUAAAAAAUAAAAAAAAUGGUCGCAAAAGGAAAUUAAUCAUUGCCUGUUUAUUUAAGAGAAUUGCUUAGGUAGCCCAAGAAUCAUAAUUAGAUCAGUCAAUUUCAUCGCGUCCGCCUCUGCUUUUCUCCCAUUUGCCAUGAGUUUGAGUGGCGUUCCCGUCUUUUAUUAUAAUCAUCACACUGUUUCCUUUUCCUGGUGGUGUCUGCACUGUGCCACGAGACCAUUGCUUUCGAUGUUUCAUUGUGAGUCAAUUUAAAAUCACCAACUGGCCCUUUUAGUCGAUUAUGGCACCAGCAAGAAUUAUUUGGACUGAGAAUAAAAUAUUUUAUGGAAAUUGUUAUCACAUGUGUUACUUCCACCUUCAAGGGUUGCCCAACACGAAUGCAAAGAUUGCAUUAAACAGUCGCCAAAUGUGCCAACCAUUGCAAUUUCCACUUGGAGUUAUGAAUUUUGAGAGCUCAAAAGCUGGUGUCUGUGUUGAAUUGCUUUACAAACUGGUUGCGGCCUGCGGGAUUCGGAGGAUUUCAAAGGCGUUCUUCGUCUGGUUCUUCAGAAAUUAUUUUUUAACUGACAAUAAUUAUCAUUAAACGUUGUUAUAUUUGUGUGAUUGAUUAUGUUUUUUUUAAUAAACGCUAAGGAAA